UACGUAGGGAGCGAGCGUUGUCCGGAAUUACUGGGCGUAAAGGGUGCGUAGGCGGUCGUCUAAGUCAGAUGUGAAAAGCCCGGGCUCAACCCGGGAGGUGCAUCUGAUACUGGAAGACUUGAGUGCAGGAGAGGAAAGCGGAAUUCCUAGUAUAGCGGUGAAAUGCGUAGAUAUUAGGAGGAACACCAGAGGCGAAGGCGGCUUUCUGGACUGCAACUGACGCUGAGGCACGAAAGCGUGGGGAGCAAAC
rnacentral:rRNA from 1 species